CGCCCUUAGAGUUUGAUCAUGGCUCAGAUUGAACGCUGGCGGCAGGCCUAACACAUGCAAGUCGAACGGUAAGAGAGCUUGCUCUUGACGAGUGGCGGACGGGUGAGCAAUGUCUGGGAAACUGCCCGAUGGAGGGGGAUAACUACUGGAAACGGUAGCUAAUACCGCAUAACGUCUUCGGACCAAAGUGGUUAGUCACACCAUCGGAUGUGCCCAGAUGGGAUUAGCUAGUAGGUGGGGUAAAGGCUCACCUAGGCGACGAUCUCUAGCUGGUCUGAGAGGAUGACCAGCCACACUGGAACUGAGACACGGUCCAGACUCCUACGGGAGGCAGCAGUGGGGAAUAUUGCACAAUGGGCGCAAGCCUGAUGCAGCCAUGCCGCGUGUACGAAGAAGGCCUUAGGGUUGUAAAGUACUUUCAGCGGGGAGGAAGGCGAUGCGUAAUCGCGUCGAUUGACGUUACCCGCAGAAAAAGCACCGGCUAACUCCGUGCAGCAGCCGCGGUAAUACGAGGGUGCAAGCGUUAUCGGAAUUACGGGCGUAAAGCGCACG
rnacentral:rRNA from 1 species